rnacentral:lncRNA from 1 species
GGGAAACCAGCUGCUACAUCACCAUCAGCCUUGUGACCAUGCCACAUGGUAAGGAGCUGAAAUCUCAGCAGCCACAUGAGUGAGCUCGGCAGCGGAUCCUUUAGGCCCCGUCAUGCAAUCCUGGAUUGCAGCCCUGGACAUCCACUUAACUAGCAAGACUGAGCCAGAACCACCCAGAUGAGCUGCUCCUGGAUUCCCAACUCUCAAAAACUGUGAGAGAUGUUCAACGGUGGUUGUUUGAAACUGCUGAGUCUCAGUAUAAUUUGUUACACAGCACUAGCUAACUCAUACACGUCACGUUUCUGCAGCAGAAUACCUUGGACCUGGGGAGAGCUGGAGAUAAUUACUCAGUACCACCCAGUACAUGGGAAAGUGAUUACUGACAGGCUCAGAAAUGUUAAGAAGAUGCUUAAAAGAAAUGGGCUCAUGAGCCUUCUUUGCUGAAGUAUUAAUUACUAGAUCUGAAUGUUUUGCUUUUCUGUGAUGGAAAACGUGAAGAAAAUAGGGCUUUUUUUUUUCUUUUGAAGAGAUGGGAUUUCCCUCUGUCGCUUAGGCUUAACUGCAGUGAUUCAGUCAUAGCUCACGGCAGCCUCAAACUCCUGGACUCAAGCAAAUGACUGAUAUUUUUUGAGCACCAGCAGUAACGAUAGUUACUAUUCACUGUUUUCUCCCUGCCAGGUGUUCCACAGACAUCCUACAUGCAUGACAUUGAUUCACUCUUACAUUUGACAGGAUUGCAGGAGCUCCUCAGACAAGAUCUGUGGCAACAGUAACAAUAAAAGCAUCCCAUGCGGACCAAACUCCUGCUGCAGAACCUGGCCGUCCACUCCACCCACGUGCCUUAGCAAAGUGCCCUUGGUGAGGCUGAGGGACUAGGCAGCCAGGACUCCUGAGGGGACCUUAUCAGAGAGGGAAGCCACCUCGGACUGAGUGGUGAGUGCUGCUCUAGGACUGCCCUAAAACUGGAUUUGAACAAAAGACCACAUGCCGUAUGACUCCAUUGGAAUGAAACAUCCAGAACAGGCAAAGCCACAGAGGCAGGAAGCAGGUGAGUGGUUGCCAGGGGCUGGGAGAGUGGGGCCAGGAAGUGGCUGCUCAGGGAAUGGGCUUCCUUUUGGGGUGAUGAAAAUGUUCUAUAACUAGAGGGUGGCAAUGGUGGCAUAGCUUUAUAAAUGGGCUAAAUGCUACAGAAUUCUACAUUUUGAAAAUAGUUAAAAUGAUACAUUUUCUUUUGAGACAGGGUCUUACUGUGUCUGGCAGUCUGGACUGAGUGUGGCUCACUGCAGACUCAACCUCUCUGGGCGUAGGUGAUUCUCCUGCCUCAGCCUCCCAAGUAGCUGGGACAACAAGUGUGCGCCACUACAUCCCAACUAUUUUUUUUUUUUUUGGUAGAGAUGGGGCUUCUGUGUGUUGCCCAGGUUGUUUUUUUUUUGUUUUUUUUGAGAUGGAGUUUCGCUGUUAUAGCCCAGGCUGGAGUGCAAUAGCGUGAUCUCGGCUCACUGUAACCUUGUCCUCCCGGGUUCAAGCAAUUCUCCUGCCUCAGCCUCCCAAGUAGCUGGGAUUAUAGCCAUGCAUCACCACAUCCAGCUA